CCUGAUUCAGUCAUGCUGGAAACGAUGGCCACUCUCUUGCCUUGUCCUUUUGAUGACACAACAAACAAGGAGGUGAAAAGCCAGCACCAGUCAUAAGCCCAGGCUCACUGCCCAUCCUCAAGUGGCUGGCAGAGGUGAGACUGUUCCGCUCAGCAGCUGCCCUGUUUCAUCGUGCCAAGUGGAAACGGGUCCUACAGACUUUGUGCAGACAGAAGCUUCUGCUCUGUGGGAAGACACCAGCCCAUCUGUGUGUGAAGCAUGAAGAUUAUGGACAAAAGGCCAUUAAGAAUGGGUUUUGCAAUAGCGAUGUUUUGAGUUGGUGUUUGGACCAUCUCUCCUCCAUUCCCAGAGCUGGAUUCAUGAGCGUCAGACAAGUUGAUGGGAAGGACAUAAUUGGCGAAGAAAGUGUGGUUAAUCUCAUUGUUCUUUGGAUCUUUCUGUUCUUCCUUCCACUUUUCCUUCCAUUACUCAGAUGGGAAAAUAUUAGUGAUCUGAAGGCAGCUGCAGCCACAGGAGUGCGUAUCUUCUAUUUCAUCCCUACAGAGUACCCUAAUGAACCUCAGAUUUACCAGGGCUCCUUGCUGCCUUUACUCCAUUAAAAAGCUAUCAUCUGCCAACAGAAUGAGAGAGAACCUGCACUUCAGAGUUCUAAAGCAAAUGAUCAGCUGAUUCUGAUGGGCUAUAAGCACACAGAAGCAAAGUACCAGGAAGGCUGCGAGAGGUGGUGAGACACGAAACCAGCAGCCUGCCUUUGCUAGAGAGGAAGUCUGACUCCCAUAGAGCCAGAGGAGUCUUAUCCCAGUAAUCACAUACAGCCGUGUUUGCUGUUUGCUCAGCGUAGUGCACUAAAAACAUGCAAAAGCAAGCCCUGGAGCCUGCCGCAGAGAUAUCGAUGAGCAGACACUUGAAAAGGCUGGGUGCUUGUUAAUGUUUAACGAGUGAGUCCUCAUCUGACUUCAUGGCAUUGAGCUUUAUUUAUCUAAUCCCUAAAUUCACCAAGGGAAAAAGAACGCUCUCUAUUAGCCUAUGAUAAGUAAGUAAAGGGGAAGACCUGGAAGAGUCUUACUGAAUUUAUUCUGUUUAAUAAUAAACGGGCCUGUUCUACACA
rnacentral:lncRNA from 1 species